rnacentral:misc_RNA from 1 species
GCAGCUGAAGGACAUGAAGAUGCCUCCGCCAAAGGACCAGAAGAACGUCAAGUUCAGCCUGCCUGCCGCCGACGAGUUCGACGACGAGGGGAGCGACUUCGACGAUGAGUACGACGAUGAAUAUGAUGAUGACGAAGAUUUUGAUGAUCUUGAAGGUAUGGAUGACGAUUUUGAUGAUGACCCCAAGCAGAAGCUGAAACCGAUAGCGUUUCCUCCAAUGGGCGAUGGUAAGAAGGAUGGCGGCGGUGCUCCUAAGGGUGCAGGUGG